AGUUCAACAGCUCCACUCAACCACUUUUAGAAAGCGGAGGGAAGAGUAGCAAAACUGAAAUGCUAUUGGAACUCAACAUAUCAGUUAAGAUUAAUGAUUCUUGUAGUCCUACGGAUAACAUUGCAACCCCUGAGCAUUCACUGCAGAAAACAAGUGCAUUGGAAGAUGCAGUUUCAACUAUUUUAGGUUACAAUAUGUUAAUAUGCCAAAUGCAGCCACAAGUAGUGCAUAU
rnacentral:misc_RNA from 1 species